rnacentral:tRNA from 1 species
GCCUCGGUGGCGGAAUUGGCAUACGCGCGCGACUCAAAAUCGCGUGGGGGAAACUCCGUGAGAGUUCGAGUCUCUCCCGAGGCA